UCUUAAGGUAAAGUGAAGUUAAAUUUUUUGCGGUGAAAAGUCGAUUUUGUGCAAAUAAAUUGACACAAUAACAACAACAACAAACAAUUUUUCAUUUCAUAAACUUUCAUUUGAUUAACAGCUAAGCUCAGCCAAAGGUAGCAACGACUUGUGCAUGGAAAAUAUAAUAAUAACAAUAAUAAAAGUGAAUUAGCGCAUAGCCAGAAGUAAAAAAAAAAAAACAAAACAAAGAAAAAA